GACGAACGCUGGCGGCGUGCUUAACACAUGCAAGUCGAGCGGUAAGGCCCUUUCGGGGGUACACGAGCGGCGAACGGGUGAGUAACACGUGGGUGACCUGCCCUUAGCUCUGGGAUAAGCCUGGGAAACUGGGUCUAAUACCGGAUAUGACUCCAUGACGCAUGUUGUGGGGUGGAAAGCCUUGUGCGGCUAGGGAUGGGCCCGCGGCCUAUCAGCUUGUUGGUGGGGUGAUGGCCACCAAGGCGACGGCGGGUAGCCGGCCUGAGAGGGCGACCGGCCACACUGGGACUGAGACACGGCCCAGACUCCUACGGGAGGCAGCAGUGGGGAAUCUUGCGCAAUGGGCGAAAGCCUGACGCAGCGACGCCGCGUGAGGGAUGACGGCCU
rnacentral:rRNA from 1 species